GCUGCGAAUGCCGGCGAAACUACAUAGGGGCUCACAGACGCGGGUUCGAAUCCCGCCCGCCGCAAGGCGGUGGUUCAGCCGGGUAGAACGGUGAGUUAGUUGUUUCGCCAAAAAUUUGUCGCAGUGCG
rnacentral:Y_RNA from 1 species